AAUAUAUAUAAUUUACAAACUUUUAUAGAAACUAACUUUAAUAAUAAAUUAUUCUGCAGUGAAUCGCGGGUUAAAAUUUAGUAUAUACAUGAGUAUGACUGGUUCCUAGAAAAUUAAGGCCAAAAUAGUAAAAUAU
rnacentral:sRNA from 1 species